AUGGCGGCCUUUUCCGGCCCGGCUGGGCCAAUCCUGUUGCUGAACCCGCAGGAAGAUCCCGGGUUUCAGAAGGAGGGGGCGCAGGUUCGCAAGCGCACAACUCUGUGGAAAAAAACAACUUACUUCUGGAGUAGUCUGUGUGCGCCACCUACCUAACCUACUUAACGAAACCGGGAUCCUUUCCUAUUUCUCCCAAGGUGGCACCGUUACAAGGUUCAGACUAUCCCGAAAUAAAAGGACUGGAAAUAGCAAAGGCUAUGCAUUUGUGGAGUUUGAGUCUGAGUCUGUUGCCGAGAUAGUUGCUGAAACAAUGAACAACUACCUGUUUGUUGGAGUGUCAUUUUAUGCCACCUGAAAAAGUACAGAAAGAAAUCUUUAAAGACCGUAAUAUUCCAUUUAAACAGCCAUCAUAUCCAUCAGUGAGACGGUAUAAUCAGAAUCGGCAUUUCGCAAAAGCUGCGGAUGGAGGGGCCAUUUAAAAAGAAAGAAAGAUUACUCCAGAAGAAAUUAGCUUAAAAUAGAAUUAUGAUUUUCCUUCUUUGAUUUUACAGAAAAUGGAAAGUACUUCAAAAUCAAAUUUUCGGACGUCUACAAAAGGCCAGGUUUUACUUAAGAAGAAAAAGGUUUUAGGCACUCCUGACACUCCUGAAAAGACUGUGGAUACCCAGGGCCCCACACCGGUUUGUACAUCAACAUUUUUGGGGAGAUGAAAAUGUGAGUGUCUGAAAUGAAUGAUGAUGACGAGGAAAAUGAAAUAGUUUUCAAACAGCCCAUAUCCUGUGUAAAAGAAGAAAUACAAGAGACUCAAACACCUAUACAUUCACAGAAAAAAAGACGAAGGAAAAGCAAUCAGUGA
rnacentral:lncRNA from 1 species